CAAAAAAAGACCCUUUGCUUAUCACUGUGUGGGAAACACCUGCAAAGCUUAAAGAUCCAUAUAGCUAUGUGAUGGGAAGAGGGACUACUGGCUGGCAGAACCCCCCGCCCCAACGUCCAGUUGCCAGACAUACAAAUAGUGGCCCAGCAGGCCCCUGAUUCCCAUGCAGCCUCCCAGUGUGGUAUAAGGACGUGCAGGCUGUUUGGCAGCAAUGGCUAAGGAAACCCAAGCAGAAACUCCUGGCGGGAGAGCCUCUGAGGACAGGGCUUGGCUGCAUCACUUUUGUGCACAGGAGGAAAAUUGCUGGUAAUUGGUUGGUUUAUAUAUAUUAUUUUUAUAAUAGAAUGUUAAUCCUCUGAAAAACAUCAAAAAGUUAGUCUCCUAGAGAGAACUCUAUGCUUUCCAAACCUACUUCAAAGAAGGGUUCUAAACACCAGUAGGGUCCUUUAUCCUUCACUACUCCAAUGGUCUAAUGGGAUAGAUGAAUCAAUGUUUAUAUUUUUAAACCUGUAAAUAUUUUUAUUUUGAAUAUUUUGUAUAUUUGUUGAUAUAAUUCCAUUUUGUGCAUAUGUACUAUUGUGCAUGUUGCUGGUUUUGAUAGCCACUCUUUUAACAAAUGUAAACAGGUUGGACUAACCGGCUCUCUGCUUUCACUCAUCUUACACUGAAAAUACAAUGUUGCCAUUUUAACUGCUGUGUUUAAAUUCCGUCAAUAAAUUCUGUUGCUCCUUUGCAGUUAAAGCAAA